rnacentral:misc_RNA from 1 species
UACGAAUGGGGCGAGCGUUGUUCGGAAUCACUGGGCGUAAAGCGUACGCAGGCGGUCAUGAAAGUCAGAAGUGAAAGCCCAGGGCUUAACCUUGGAAUUGCUUUUGAAACUCCAUGACUAGAAUACUGGAGAGGUUGGCGGAAUUCCGAGUGUAGAGGUGAAAUUCGCAGAUAUUCGGAGGAACACCAAUGGCGUAGGCAGCCAACUGGACAGUUAUUGACGCUCAGGUACGAAAGCGUGGGGAUCAAACAGG